rnacentral:rRNA from 1 species
GACGAACGCUGGCGGCGUGCCUGACACAUGCAAGUCGGACGGUUCUUGUACCUUCAAGCUUGCUUGUUGGUGCAAGGAUAGUGGCGGACGGGUGAGUAACGCGUGAACAUCUACCCAUUGGAGGGGGACAACCCGUCGAAAGGCGGGCUAAUACCGCGUAAGCCGCGAGGUGAGAGGCUGCCUAUUGGUGGCCGCCGAUGGAUGGGUUCGCGUCCUAUCAGCUGGUUGGUGGGGUAACGGCCUACCAAGGCGAAGACGGGUAGCCGGUCUGAGAGGAUGGCCGGCCACACUGGAACUGAGACACGGUCCAGACUCCUACGGGAGGCAGCAGUGGGGAAUCUUGCGCAAUGGGGGAAACCCUGACGCAGCAACGCCGCGUGAGUGAGGAAGGCCUUCGGGUCGUAAAGCUCUGUCAGAUGGGAAGAAAUAGGAUGGGGGCGUAAUAUCGCCCAUCCUUGACGGUACCAUCAGAGGAAGCACCGGCUAACUCCGUGCCAGCAGCCGC